UACGUAGGGUGCAAGCGUUGUCCGGAAUUAUUGGGCGUAAAGAGCUCGUAGGCGGUCUGUCGCGUCUGCUGUGAAAACUCAGGCUUAACCCUGAGCUUGCAGUGGGUACGGGCAGACUAGAGUGCGGUAGGGGAGACUGGAAUUCCUGGUGUAGCGGUGAAAUGCGCAGAUAUCAGGAGGAACACCGGUGGCGAAGGCGGGUCUCUGGGCCGUAACUGACG
rnacentral:rRNA from 1 species